AGUGAACGCUGGCGGUAGGCCUAACACAUGCAAGUCGAACGGCAGCACAGGAGAGCUUGCUCUCUGGGUGGCGAGUGGCGGACGGGUGAGGACUACAUCGGAAUCUACUUUUUCGUGGGGGAUAACGUAGGGAAACUCACGCUAAUACCGCAUACGACCUACGGGUGAAAGCAGGGGAUCUUCGGACCUUGCGCGAUUGAAUGAGCCGAUGUCGGAUUAGCUAGUUGGCGGGGUAAAGGCCCACCAAGGCGACGAUCCGUAGCUGGUCUGAGAGGAUGAGCAGCCACAGUGGAGCUGAGACACGGUCCAGACUCCUACGGGAGGCAGCAGUGGGGAAUAUUGGACAAUGGGCGCAAGCCUGAUCCAGCCAUACCGCGUGUGUGAAGAAGGCCUUCGGGUUGUAAAGCCCUUUUGUUGGGAAAGAAAUCCAGCUGGUUAAUACCCGGUUGGGAUGACGGUACCCAAAGAAUAAGCACCGGCUAACUUCGUGCCAUCCGCCGCCGUAA
rnacentral:rRNA from 1 species